GACGAACGCUGGCGGCGUGCCUAAUACAUGCAAGUCGAACGCAGUGGGGACGGGUGAGUAACACGUGGGUAACCUCCCAUCAGAGGGGAUAACACUUGGAAACAGGUGCUAAACCGAUACUGAUGGAUGAACCCGCGGUGCAUUAGCUAGUUGGUGAGGUAACGGCUCACCAAGGCCACGAUGCAUAGCCGGGCUGAGAAGUUGAUUGGCCACACGGGGAAGGAAAAACGGCCCAGACUCCUACGGGAGGCAGCAGUAGGGAAUCUUCGGCAAUGGACGAAAGUCUGACCGAGCAACGCUGCGCGAGUGAAGAAGGUUUUCGGAUCGUAAAACUCUGUUGUUAAGGAAGCGGUAUCUAACCAGAAAGCCACGGCUAACUACGUGCCAGCCGCCGCGGUAAUAC
rnacentral:rRNA from 1 species